rnacentral:rRNA from 1 species
UGGGCAACCUGCCCUCAGCUCUGGGAUAACUCCAAGAAAUUGGUGCUAAUACCGGAUGUGACCGCUGACCGCAUGGUCUGGUGGUGGAAAGAUUCAUCGGCUGAGGAUGGGCCCGCGGCCUAUCAGCUUGUUGGUGGGGUAAUGGCCCACCAAGGCGACGACGGGUAGCCGGCCUGAGAGGGUGACCGGCCACACGUGGGACUGAGACACGGCCCAGACUCCUACGGGAG